rnacentral:rRNA from 1 species
AUUGAACGCUGGCGGCAUGCCUUACACAUGCAAGUCGAGCGGCAGCACGGUCUUCGGACUGGUGGCGAGCGGCGGACGGCAGAGUAACGCGUAGGAACAUGCCCCAAAGUGAGGAAUAACUGCCCGAAAGGGUGGCUAAUGCCGCAUAUGCUCUUCGGAGUAAAGCUUUAUGCGCUUUGGGAGUGGCCUGCGUCCGAUUAGCUUGUUGGUGAGGUAAUAGCUCACCAAGGCGACGAUCGGUAGCUGGUCUGAGAGGAUGAUCAGCCUGACUGGAACUGAGAACGGUCCAGACUCCUACGGGAGGCAGCAGUAGGGAAUUUUCCACAAUGGGCGAGAGCCUGAUGGAGCAACGCCGCGUGCAGGAUGAAUGCCUUCGGGUUGUAAACUGCUUUUAUGUGCGAAGAAUUUGACUGUAACACAUGAAUAAGGAUCGGCUAACUACGUG